AUGGACGUGUUCCAGCAGCUCUUUGAGCUGCGAGGUCGUGGCUUCUGCAAGCUUAACCAGGCCCUGCUCACUUUGUUGCCAAAGCGCGCCGAUGCCCUGGAGUUGCGAGACUUCCGCCCGAUAUGCCUCAUCCACAUCGUGGCCAAGGUUUUUGCCAAGGCCCUCUCGCUCCGGCUCGCACCAAAGCUUGACCACCUUCUUAGCCGCAACCAGAACGCAUUCAUCAUCGGACGAAGCCUCCACGACAACUUUGUGCUUGUCAGGCAAUCGCUUAAGAUGCUAAGCCAGCUAGGGGCACCCAGGGUGAUGCUCAAACUCGACCUCACGCGCGCCUUCGAUUCCAUAUCCUGGUCGUUCUUCUUUGAGGUUCUACACCAAUAUGGGUUCGGGAGUCAAUUCCUCGAAUGGAUCGCCAUCCUGCUGUCCUCGGCGAGCACCCGGGUUAUGCUUAACGGUGUGCCAGGACCUCCGAUAUGGCACAAGGAAGGGCUGCGUCAGGGCGACUCCUUGUCCCCACAGCUGUUCGUGCUCGCGGUCGACACACUUGGCUGGCUGAUUUCACGCGCCCACGAGACCGGCAUCCUCAGGCCGUUGCACCCACGUCGACUGAUUCCGGCUAUAUCUCUAUACGCCGACGACGUCAUGCUCUUCUGCCACGCCAUGGAGAGCGACGUGACCGCCAUCAAGGAAAUCCUUGACCUGUUCGGAAGAGCGUCGGGCCUCAAGGUGAACUACACCAAGAGCUCAGCCUCCGUCCUGCAUGGAGACCAGACCACCCACGAGACCAUUGCCAGCCUGGGAUGUGCAACUGCCGCGCUCCCGGUCACCUACCUCGGCAUACCUUUGACGGUGCGUCGCCCUUCCGCGGGACAGCUGCAGCCCCUCGUCGACAAGGUCACUGGACACCUACCCACCUGGAAAGCAUGGCUGAUGAACCGGGCCGGCAGGCUGGCCCUGGUCAAGUCCGUCCUCUGCGCCAUCCCGGUGCACCAGCUUCUUGCUUUCGCCCCCCCGAAGAAGAUGCUGCAGCAGCUCACGAAGAUCCAGCGAGGCUUCCUCUGGGACGGACGAGCCGCCGCCAACGGCGGGCACUGCCACGUUAAUUGGUGUCGCGUCAGUCGCCCCCUCGCUUUGGGUGGCCUCGGGAUCCAUGACCUGGAGUGGACUGGCCUCGCGCUUAGACUGAGGUGGCUUUGGCUCUCGCGCACAGACGCGGAGCACGCCUGGCAGGGGUUGGACCUCCAGUUCUCUAGCAGCGAGCGCACCUUGUUCUUCGCCUCCACAUACAUGUCCAUCGGCAAUGGCAUGAACGCUCUGUUCUGGGAGGAUCGAUGGCUCAACGGGCGCUCGGUUGGCGAGCUCAUGCCGCUGCUAUACAAAUGCAUCAGCACGCGCCGACGCAAAGUGAGAACGGUGGCCGAAGGUCUAACCGGCAACACAUGGGCCCGAGACAUCCAAGGAAUCCUUGGCAUUCACGAGAUUGGUCAGUACCUGCAACUUUGGCAGCUCACGUAG
rnacentral:rRNA from 1 species